CCUACGGGUGGCUGCAGUGAGGAAUAUUGGUCAAUGGGCGCGAGCCUGAACCAGCCAAGUCGCGUGAAGGAUGACUGCUCUAUGGGUUGUAAACUUCUUUUAUAUGGGAAUAAAGUGAGGCACGUGUUCCUUUUUGUAUGUACCUUAUGAAUAAGCAUCGGCUAACUCCGUGCCAGCAGCCGCGGUAAUACGGAGGAUGCGAGCGUUAUCCGGAUUUAUUGGGUUUAAAGGGAGCGUAGGUGGUUAAUUAAGUCAGCGGUGAAAGUUUGUGGCUCAACCAUAAAAUUGCCAUUGAUACUGGUUGACUUGAGUAUAUUUGAGGUAGGCGGAAUGCGUGGUGUAGCAGUGAAAUGCAUAGAUAUCACGAAGAACUCCGAUUGCGAAGGCAGCUUACUAAACUAUAACUGACACUGAAGCACGAAAGCGUGGGGAUCAAACAGGAUUAGAUACCCUUGUAGUC
rnacentral:rRNA from 1 species